rnacentral:lncRNA from 1 species
UGAGCGUGGAAUUUUUUUUCAUUUGUUCAUGUCAUCUACAAUUUCUUUCAUCAGUGUUUUGUAGUUCUCCUCACAGAAGUCUUUCAUCUCCUUGCUUGAUGUAGUUCUAGGUAUUUUAUUUUUAUGUGGGAUUACAUUUUUGAUUUGGCUCUCAGCUUGAAUGUUAUUGUUGUAUAUAAAUGCUGUUGAUUUGUGUACAAUAUUUUUGUAUCCUGAAAAAUUACUGAAGACAUUUAUCAGUACCAGUAGCCUUUUGGUGGAGUCUUUAGGGUUUUCUAGGUGUAGAAUCAGCAAAAAAAAAGAGAUAGUUUGACUCUUUUUUUUUUUUUUUUUCUAUGUGGAUCCCUUUUCUUUGUUUCUCCUGCCUGACUCCUCUGGCUAGGACUUCUAGUACUACAUUGAACAGUAGUAGUGAGAGUGGGCAUCCUUGUCUUGUUCCAGUUCUUAAGGGGAAUGCUUCCAUUUUUUGCCUCUUCAAUAUGAUGUUGGCUGUAGGAUUAUCAUAGAUUGCGCUUAUUGAGGUAUGUUCCUUUUAUGUCUAAUUUUUUUAGGGUUAUCAUUAUGAAGGGUUGUUAGAUUAUAUUGCACGCUUCUUCCAUGUCUAUUGAGAUGAUCAUAUGGUUUUGGUUUUUAAUUCUGUUUAUGUGGUGAAUCAUAUACAUUAAUUUGCAUAUGUUGAAUCUAACUUGCAUGCCAGGAAUGAAGCCUACUAGAUCAUAAUGAAUUCAUUUUGAUGUGCUGCUAAAAUCAGCUUGGUAGUAUCUUGUUAAGGAUAUUUGUGUUUAUGUUCAUCAGGGAUACUGACCUAUUUUUGUUUUUGCUUUUGUUUUUGUUUUGCUUCUUUGUGUCUUUGCCAGGUUUUGAUAUCAGGGUGAUGCAGGCUUCAUAGAAUGAGUUAGGGAGAAGAUCCUCUUCCUUGAUUUUUUGUAAUAGUUGAACUGGUAUGAAGUUUUCUUUGUACAUCUGGUAGAAGUCAGCUAUGACUCCAUCUGGUCCAGGGCUUUUUUUUUUUUUUUUUUUUUUUUGGUUGGUAGGGUUUUUUAAAAUUGCUGAUUCAAUUGCAGAACUCAAUAUUGGCCUGGUCACAUUUUAAAUUUGUUCCUGAUUCAAUCUUGGGAGGUUGUGUGUCUCCAGGAAUUUAUCCAUUUCCUCUAGACUUUCUAGUUUGUGUGCAUAGAGGUGUUCAUAAUAGUCUCAAGAUUUUUUGUAUUUCUGUUAGAUCAAUUGUAAUGUCACCUUUGUUUCUGAUUAUGGUUAAAAGGAUGUUCUCAUUUUUUCUUUGUUAAUCUAGCUAGUGGUCUAUCAAUCUUCUUUAUCCUUUCAAAUAACCAACUUUUGGUUUUAUCAAUUCUUUGUGUAAAUUUUUGAGUCUCAAUUUUGUUCAGUUCUGCUCGGAUUUUAGUAAUUUAUUUUCUUCUGCUAACUUUGGGGCUGGUAUAUUUUGAUUUUUCUAGUUCCUCUAGCUGUGAUGUUACAUUGUUAAUCUGCGAUCUUUCUAAUUUUUGAGGUGGGCAUUUAGCACUAUAAAUUUUCCUCUUAACACUGCUUUUUUCUGCAUCCCAGAGAUUUUGGUAUGUUGUGUCUCUAUUUUCAUUUAUUUCCAAGAAUUUAUUUUUUGUUUUCUUUAUCAAUUUCAUUUUUUAAACAAAAGUCAUUCAGGAACAAGUUGUUUCAUUUCUAUGUAUUGUGUGGUUUUGGGAGAUCUUCUUAGUAUUGACUUCUAUUUUUGUUCCACUAUGGUCUGAGUAUGGUUGGUAAGAUUUUGAUUUAUUUGAUUAUUCAACAUUAUGAAUGGCUGAGCAUGUGACUUUAUGUUCAAGCAUGUGACUGAUCUUGAAGUAUGUUCUGUGUGCAGAUGAAAAUAAUGUAUAUUUUGUGGUUGAUGGGUGGAGUGUUCUGUAGAUGUCCAGUAGGUCUACUUAGUCAAGCAUUGAAUUUAAGUCCAGAAUUUCUUUGUUAGUUUUCUGUCUCAAUAAUCUGUCUAAUGCUGUCAGUGAGCUGUUGAAGACCCCACUAUUAGUAUGUGGCUCUUUAAGUCUUCUCCUAGGUCUAGAAGCAGUUGUUUUAUAAGGUUGAGUGCUCCAAUGUUGGGUGUAUAUAUAUUUAGGAUAGUUAAGUCUUCUUGUUGAAUAGAACCCUUUAUCAUUCUGUAAUGCCUUUCUUCUACCUUUUUUACUGUUAUUGGUUUAAAGUCUAUUUUAUCUGUUGCAAGAAUAGUGACCCCUGCUCUUUUUUUGUUUUCUAUUUACAUGAUGGAUCUUUCUCCAACCCUAUGCUUUGAACCUAUGGGUAUCAUUACAUGUGAGAUGGGUCUCUUGAAGACAGCAGAUGGAUGAAUCUUUUUCUUUUUUAAUCCAGCUUGCAUCUUUGUGCCCUUUAAAUUGGAUGUUUAGACUGUUUACAUGCAAAGUUAAUAUUGAUAUGUGAGGUUUUGAUCCAAUCUUGGAGCUGUUAAUGGUUGCUUUGAAGUUUCUAUGUUAUUGUUGCUUUAUAGGAUCUGUGGGUUCUGUACUUAAAUGUGUUUUUGUGGUAGCUGGUAUUGUUCUUUUGUUUACAUAUUUAGAAUUCCCUUAACAAUCUCUUGUAAUACUAAUCUAGUGGUAACAAGUUCCCUUAGCAGUUGCUUGUCUGAAAAAUACUUUAUUUUUCCUUUUAUGAAGCUUAAUUUGGUGGGACAUGAAAUUCUUGGUUGGUUGGAAUUUCUUGUCUUUGAGAAUGCUGGAAGUAUGUCCCCAAUCUUCCCUGGCUUGUGAUGGGGAGAGCACAAUUCU